rnacentral:lncRNA from 1 species
AUGGCCCAGAGCGCCUCAGAGGCUGGCGGCCUCGCCUGGGGUUGGGACGGGGACGUGGACGAAGACUGGGAGGGCGCCGCGCUGACCCUGCUGGCCCUGGCCGUCGUGGCCACCACGGCGCUGGCUCUGCACUGGUUUGGCUCCGCGCAGGACCAGGAAGUGCCGGGACCAGCCCUCCGGCCUUCGCAGGUGGGAGCAGCUGGGCCAGCCCUACCCCCGAAGCACAAGGUCAGUGGCGUUGUUGAGGGUCACGGCUCAGGGCAGGGAAAGCCAGGCCCUGCAGGACGUGGCCAGGGUAGUCCAGCUGCAGUGGGCGCCCAGGAUCAGGAGCCCCUGGGCAGCGGAAGUCUGGCUGCUGCAGCCUCCCCUCCCCUUAAGAUGCCAGCAGGGGAGGGGGCCAGUGGAGGGGCCUUGGGACCCCCUGAAACCCUCCAAUGUAAAGGGAAGGAGGCUCGCAGGUCAGGCUCUGCUCUCCCGGGUGGGAGCAAAGCUGAAGGGUCAUCUGCACCCCUCCUGAUACACUUCACCCCUCGGGAUCCUGGCAGAGAAGUGGAGGUGCGGAGGGAGGCAGGGGGUGCCCGAGGCAAGGCCCCUGUCCACAGGGCAGGACGGGACAGUCGCCCCUGGCAACAAGGGCGGGGGUCACCUGCCUCGAGGGGGCAGAGCCCCGGCAGCCGGUGGGGGCAGGUGGACUCAGGACGGAGCGGCUGUCGCCGGCCAAAGCUGGACGCCCUGUCUCUGGGCUCUGUGGUGAGCGUGUGGGAUGCUGUGGGUGCAGCCAGCAGCCUGCCCGCAGGCUCCCGGGGGCUCCUGUUCCCCCAGGAGCCGCCCCCAUUGUGCAGCCUGCAGACUAGGCCCUUGAUGGGUGUCUCAGAGAGGGGGCUUGGGGAGAGCGGCCCCCAAGCUGCCCAAGGCCUAGCUCUGGACUCGGCAGCCCCAGCCGGCGAGAACGAGGAGGCUGCGACCCUGGCCCCCAGGGAGUCUCAGGGGUCCCCAGCCGCCACUGGAGGCUGGCCCUGGGUGAGGAGGGAGGUCCUGGUCACCGGGAGCUUCAGCCAGGCCCCGGGCCCUGUGAGCCUAUCACCAGAGGGGCCCCAGGGGGGACGCCCUCUCUUGUCCCUGGUGCAGAGGACCACAGAGGCCUGCACUGUGGGACGGGCUGGGGCUAAUGGCUCUGGAGAUCACGUUUCCUUCAGUUCAGGGCCUGGAGGGACAAAGGAGCAAGGGGCCCACGGCAUUAGAGAAGGGAGAGGGUCCCUGCGAGGCUGGGUGGCCUGUGGUUCUGCAGACAUUUGCAGCUACAUCUCCUCCCCUAGCUCCUCGGCCACGACCCCGCCAUGCACCCCUAAACCCCUUCCACCCCCAGGGUCCCCACCCGCAGCACACGCCCGCCCCAGUCUCGUACCUGGAGCCCCGAUUCCUCCGAUCUCCUUUCCUUCAGACUCUUUGCCCCUCGGAGUGAGCCAGAGUCCUGCUGCGGGGUCCUCCUCCCCAGCGCCGACCCCUGCCCCCCCCACAGGUGCCCCUCCUCCAGCACCAUCCGCUGCCCCCGCACCAGCUGCAGCCCCCGCGGCUGCUAGUGGAUCAAGGCUUGCAUCUCGGGAGCCGAGUGUUGUUCUCUGCAAGGACCAUCAGCAGGGGCAGCUCUCAACCAGCUGGGGAAACCUUAUUUCGAUGGUUCUCAGGAGUCACCCCUUUCCCAGGCCAGAGAGGACCCAAGGGAGAGCCCUGAGGACCGCUCUGGAGAGUCCCAGCCAUCCGGGCGCAGCAUCACCCUCUGAGAUCAGAGAGUCGGCUGCUCCCCCAGAGGAGGACAGGCAUAGCACAGAGGGGCUGGCCACAAGGGCGGGUCCAGGGGGCCUGGAGGAGGCUGGAGCCCAGCCACAGCAGAGUCACGCUGAGACUGAGGGGGCUGCUGCUGCAGGCACCCCCUCAGGCCCGAGAGGGGACAGAACCGAGGAGAAAUAUCCAGACUCGCUGCUGAGGGGAGCCGCAGAGCCCAUGGCCCCCUUGCCGCCCCCAGAGCAGAUCCAGCCUGGCUCUUCACCCUCUCUGGCUACAAGGCGGGACCCCCAACCAGUCCCGAGGCCCCGGAAACGCAGCUUGUGUGAAAUGUCCCAGAGCCCCAAGCAGGAGGCCAGCCGGACGGCCCCAGGGCAGCACCAGGGACGGGUGUCCGAGGCAGGGCCUCGCCCUUCAGGCCCCGGGCAGGGCCUCCGGGAGAAGCAGGAGGAGGCCCGGAAGCUCACGGGGUUUCUGCAGAGGCCGGGAGGCUGGGGGGUGGCGGAGGGGCCCCGGAAGUCCAGGGCCUCCGCCGCGGCUCUGCCGCGAUGGCUGGACUUGGGCAGUUGCCUGGAGGCACUGGCCUCUGCCCAGCAGCACGGGGACCCUGGCUUGGCCCAGGAAACCUAUGCCUGGAUGAGCGACAAUCUGCUUCACGUGCUGAGAGAGCCGAACCUCUACCGGCAGCUGAGUGGGGCUGACCGGGAGCGCAUCGUGAGCCUGCGCACCGGCCGCGGCCCGGCGGUGCUGGGGGCCCUGGUGCUGCCGGGCCUCUACGGGGUGAGUCGCUCUGGGCUCACAGGGGACUCCCCUGCGGCGGAGGCUCUUGCCGUGGGGCCCGCGGCCCUGCCUCCGCCCGCAUAUCUGCACGUGUUCCACCCCGGAGAGAACAGCUGGCGGCCGCUGACCAGGGUGCCUCGGGAGGCCCCGCUGCGCGGCUGCGGCCUCUGCACCCUGCACAACUACCUGUUCCUGGCGGGGGGCAUCCGCGGCUCCGGCCCUGAGGCCGUCUGCUCCAACGAGGUGUUCUGCUACAACCCUCUGACCGACGUCUGGAGCCAGGUGCGGCCCAUGCAGCAGGCGCGCGCCCAGCUCAAGCUAGUGGCGCUGGACGGGCUGCUCUACGCCAUCGGGGGCGAGUGUCUGUACAGCAUGGAGUGCUACGACCCGCGCGCGGACGCCUGGACCCCCCGCGCGCCCCUCCCUGCGGGCGCCUUCCCCGUGGCUCACGAGGCUGUGGCUUGCCAGGGGGACAUCUACGUCACCGGGGGCCAUCUCUUUCACCGGCUGCUCAGGUACCGUCCCACGAAGGAUGCGUGGGAUGAAUGCCCCUACAGUGCCAGCCACCGGCGGUCCGGCGACAUGGUGGCUCUGGGGGGCUUCCUGUACCGCUUCGACCUUCUGCGGGGCGUGGGCGCCGCGGUGAUGCGCUACAACCCCGUGACGAGCUCCUGGAGCCGGGCCGCCGCCUUGCCCCUGCCCGCCCCCGCCCCGCUGCGCUGUGCGGCGCUGGGCAACACCAUCUACUGCCUCAACCACCAAGUCACAGCCACCUUCACCGUCUCCGAGGGGACCGCCCAGUUCCAGGCCAAGGAGCUGCAGCCUUUCCCCCUGGGGACCAAAGGGGUCCUCUGCCCGUUCACCCUGACUCUGCCUGCCAGGGCCCCGCUGCAGACUGCCCUCUGA